rnacentral:rRNA from 1 species
UACAGGGAGGGCAGCGUUGUUCGGAAUUACUGGGCGUAAAGGGCGCGUAGGCGGCCUGUUAAGUCGAACGUGAAAUCCCCGGGCUCAACCCGGGAACUGCGUCUGAUACUGGUUGGCUUGAAUCCGGGAGAGGGAUGUGGAAUUCCAGGUGUAGCGGUGAAAUGCGUAGAUAUCUGGAGGAACACCGGUGGCGAAGGCGGCAUCCUGGACCGGUAUUGACGCUGAGGAGCGAAAGCCAGGGGAGCAAAGCGGG